UUGCAAUGAUGGUAAACAUUUUUCGUCAACAGUAUAUCACCCCACGUGUAUGUUGACAACCUCUUUCUGAGCAA